AGAAUCAACGCUGGCGGCGUGCCUAACACAUGCAAGUCGCACGAGAAAGGGUAGCAAUACCUGAGUAAAGUGGCGCACGGGUGAGUAACACGUGAAUGAUCUACCUCCGAGUGGGGAAUAACUGAGAGAAAUCUUAGCUAAUACCGCAUAACACUUACGAGUCAAAGCAGCAAUGCGCUUGGAGAGGAGUUCGCGGCCGAUUAGUUAGUUGGCGGGGUAAUGGCCCACCAAGACGAUGAUCGGUAUCCGGCCUGAGAGGGCGCACGGACACACUGGAACUGAAACACGGUCCAGACUCCUACGGGAGGCAGCAGUGGGGAAUUUUGCGCAAUGGGGGAAACCCUGACGCAGCAACGCCGCGUGGAGGAUGAAAUAUCUUGGUAUGUAAACUCCUUUCGAUGGGGAAGAUUAUGACGGUACCAUAGAAGAAGCCCCGGCUAACUUCGUGCCAGCAGCCGC
rnacentral:rRNA from 1 species